CUGCUGGCCUCUGAGGCCUCACGUGUGGGGACUGGCAUGAGGCCCACUGGGGAGGAGAGAAACCUUGGAGCUCGGAGGAAGGAAACUGCGAUGAAGCCUGAGUCCCUGUCCCGAAGGGGUCCUGACACACUGGGCCCCGCCCUGAGUCCAUGACUGGCCUCCCUUUGUGAGGAGAGCAGGCCCUGCAUCAUCAGGCCACCAGACUCCUUCCAGCCUCCUGCACAUUUCAGCUGGGCACUGCGGUAGCUGCAUGGAGACCCACAGAACCCACCCUCAGAACAGCGCCUGAUGAGAAGGCCGGGCCUGCAUUCCUCCACACCAAGCCAGGCGCCCGGAAGGAGGCAAACAGCAGCAUUGCCUAUUCAUUGGCCGAUGUCUUCCUUGGUUCUCUUCCUUGGUGAAAACCGCUUUUACAGCAUCUGGUGCCAGAUCUUUGAGAACCGCCACCCCAGCCCGUACCUCUGAGGCAAACCACACUGAGCAGCGGACUGCAGGCCUGCGAGCAAGGCUACAGGAGAAAUUUUAAACGCUGCAGAACUUCCACCAAGUAAGUCACGUGUGUCAUCAUGUGAUCAUC